rnacentral:rRNA from 1 species
GACGAACGCUGGCGGCGCGCUUAACACAUGCAAGUCGAACGGAAAGGCCUGCUUUCCCUUGUGGAUUGCGGGUACUCGAGUGGCGAACGGGUGAGUAACACGUGAGUGAUCUGCCCCCAACUUGGGUAUAAGCCUGGGAAACUGGGUCUAAUUCCCGAUAGGACUGCAGGGUGGUGCCUGUGGUGGAAAACGAUUUUCUAGUGGUUGGGGAUGAGCUCGCGGCCUAUCAGCUUGUUGGUGGGGUAAUGGCCUACCAAGGCGGCGACGGGUAGCCGGCCUGGGAGGGGGGACGGUGACAUUGGGACUGGGAUACGGCCCAGACUCCUACGGGAAGCAGCAGUGGGGAAUAUUGGACAAUGGGCGGAAGCCUGAUGCAGCGACGCAGCGUGGGGGAUGACGGCCUUCGGGUUGUAAGCUCCUUUCGACCGCGAGGAAGCCACCUGGUUGGAAGGGUGGUGACGGUAGUGGUAGAAGAAGCACCGGCUAACUACGUG